AUUUAUAAAGUUUAUAAAACAUUUCAUUUUCAUUGAAAAGAGAAGCAGAAUGCUUUAUAAAUA
rnacentral:tRNA from 1 species